rnacentral:tRNA from 1 species
GCCCUGGUGGUGAAAUGGUAGACACAAUUGAUUCAAAAUCAAUCGCCUAAAAGCUUGGAGGUUCGAUUCCUCUCCAGGGCA